ACGCAUAUAGAAGCUGAGAUUGUCUCUGCCAUGUGCUUCAUCCUAAACCAGCAAAAAAUUAAAAGGUUUCAAGAGGAAGUAUACUUCUUGUGAACUUGGC